GAUGAACGCUAGCGGCAGGCUUAACACAUGCAAGUCGAGGGGUAUAUCACUUCGGUGAUAGAGACCGGCGCACGGGUGCGUAACGCGUAUGCAAUCUACCUUUUACAGGGGAAUAGACCAGAGAAAUUUGGAUUAAUGCCACAUAGUAUAUUUGAAUGGCAUCAUUUGAUUAUUAAAGUCACAACGGAAAAAGAUGAGCAUGCGUCCCAUUAGUGAGUUGGUAAGGUAACGGCUUACCAAGACGAUGAUGGGUAGGGGUCCUGGGAGGGAGAUCCCCCACACUGGUACUGAGACACGGACCAGACUCCUACGGGAGGCAGCAGUGAGGAAUAUUGGUCAAUGGGCGCAAGCCUGAACCAGCCAUGCCGCGUGCAGGAUGACGGUCCUAUGGAUUGUAAACUGCUUUUAUACGGGAAGAAACACCGAUUCGUGAAUCGGCUUGACGGUACCGUAAGAAUAAGGAUCGGCUAACUCCGUGCCAGCAGCCGCGGUAACAC
rnacentral:rRNA from 1 species